AUUUUGGAAAUGAUUUAUAAAAGACCCGUUGGAAUUAGGAAGUCCAAAGGGUUGUGUCGGUGUAUUGGCGCCUAAUUUAUACCUUCUUCAGUCGCUCAUAGUCAUCACGCUACUCUCCAAACACCACCGGAGACAUGUUUCAGUGAAGAAGAAAAAGAAGAAGAAGAGGCUUUUAUUUGGAGGCACCACCUUCUUCUCUUUUUCUUCUAGCGACACCACCCUUUUCUCUUUCUUUCAUUAUCCGGCGUUCAACAAUCCUCUGUGUUUCCCUCUUCGUCUGUUAGUUAAAGCUCUUGAUUUUUUUUUGUGUGUGUGUAUUAUUGAUUUUGAUUUUGUUUUUGUUAGGUAUUUUCAAUUGGUUAAGAAGAUUAUUCAGGUCGCUCUUCGUUCAUUAAUGGAUUCAUCAGUCAGUUUGGUUUACCAUCAUCAUCGAUCAAGAAAAAGAGUAUAGAUCUUUUUCCUCUGAUUUCUAGGUAUUGUGUUUACUUGUAUGUUUUCAAUACGUGUUUUAGGCUAAGUGUAUGGCAACUUUUUACGUCAUGAAACUAAUUUUUUUCUUCUAAGCAUGUUUCAUCAUCGCUAAAAGGAUCAAACACUGUACAAAAGGUCGCCAAAUCGAAACCAAAGCAUCCAUCAAACGAAGAUGAUUUGCUCAAGCAAGUGGUGAUGUCGGUAAAAUUUAAAUAGUUUUGAAACCCAAAAAAGUAUUGUUUAUCUGUGCAGUUUAGGUGUUUGAUGAAAUGUCUUAAUUAACCUAAAGAGUUGUUUUGCUUUGUUUUGAGGGUAAAAAUGUUGCUGGAUUAAAUUAUGUGGAGAGAAGUAAAUAAUCACAAACCAAAUUAAAAUAUUAGAAAACUUAUUGAGUUAUUAGAAAUUCAAUUAGGGAAAAGAUAAUUUAUUUGUGUUUGUAACUCAAUUAGAAAUAUAAGUGUACUUUGGUUCUAACUAAAAGUUUCAUAUAAAGUUGUGUGUUUCUAUUUCAUUAAGUUAUGUUUCCUUUCCAAUUAAAUUAAAAUACAUGAGAUGUUCCACUUCCACAACCAAAUCUGUUUAUAGAUGUUCACAACAUUCGUCACAUGUUAUAAUGUUUUCCUUUCCUAUUAAGUAACUUGUUUAAUAGCCAAAUGAAUGUGCAGGCUUUUUUUGUUGUUUCUUCAACUGACAUGGAUCCUAAGUAUCAACAAGUUUGUGGAUCUUUUUAACAUGAAUCAUUUACCCUGCUUCUUCUUCUUAAUGAUGCUGAUGUUUACUUUUAUAUAUUUGAUGGGGGUGAUAAUCAAGUCUCUUUGGUGAAUAAAAUCAUUAUAUAUGAGAAUACUGUAAGUGCUCUCUUUUCAUUGUUUAAUAAUAUCUUUGAAAAAUAAAAAGGAUGUCGCUUUUUACCUUUGUAGAACUGAUGAGGUAAUAAUCAAAUCUCUUUUGUGAUUAAAAAUAUUAUAUAUGAGAAUAUUGUUAAUAAAGAAAGUCUUUUUUUUGCAGGAACCUCUGCAUUCAGCUGUGAUAUGCUUGAACAAGCAUCUUAUUGUUACAUUUUCUUUCAACCAAACCAAUCAUCUUAAAAAGCUCAAGACAUUGGAGACAAGCCCUGUUAUGUUAUCUGGUUUCAUUAACAGAAGAGGCUAAUAAUAAUGCACAGAUGUGGAUGUUCCUGAGAUGAAAUAUACGUCCGAUGAUCAACCAUCAUACCCUGUUGGUGUAAUUUGUGUGUGUUCCAAGGCUACUACAAAGAUGAAGUGCAAACGAAUGUUAUGUAUAAAUAUAAUAAUCCUUACUCUCUUCUCUUCUGCUUUUGGCAUGCAUUAGACUGAUGUCAAUGGGACAUAAAUUCAAAAUUGCAAUUUUAUAAUUAACAUUUCUAAGAUUUUGUGUAAUUGAUGAAGAAGAAGGAUGCAUGGUUUGGCUUCAUACAUGAAGCCACAUGUAAUAAACUAAUCUUUAAAGUAAAACUUGAAAGAUACAAAUACAAUGGUGAAGGAAGUUGCAAUUAGAUUUAGAGACAAAAUUGCAAGUUUGAUUCUGUCAGCCUUUUUAUGAAUAUCAUGAUGUUCUAGUCAAAUCUCUUUCUGUGGGUAUGUGAUCAUGAAAGAAUCCAGCACCUAAUAAUGCUCUUUCUUGUUUCUCUUUCAUUGAUUUGUGUUUUACUAAUUGUGUUAGGUUUAACACAUUGUUGUUUUUUGUUGGUUUGUUUAUGAAGUUAAAUCAUGUAAUGAUUGUUAUAUGAAUUUCUGAAGAUUGUAAGCGAAUCUUAAUUUAUGUAUUUCAAUUACUAAUAUGUGGUUAUUUGGUAGGAUAAAUGGAGCAGUCAAAAAAAAAAAAAAAACUAAAUGACCAUAUAUGAUGCCAAGGUAAGAAAGUGCAUUGUUAUUGCUUAAUUUAUAAUUGAAAUCAGUCUUUUGAAUAUAAGGUUACAAAGAAGAGGUCCAUCUAAUAGAUGCAUAGCUUGUAGACAAGAAACUAAUUAUACACUUCAACCCUACAGGCUCCAUAAGUUCAAUUUGAGCAUGAAAUGUUCGACAAUUAAAUGUUGAGGUAUAAAUUUAUCUGUUACAAUGCUUUCCUAUUCAGUAACUUGUUUCUUUUUAGCCAAGAAAGUACGGAUUUCAUCUCUGAUCUGUACAAGAAAUGCUAUCAGGUAUUGCAAUCUUUGUUACCAGAUCAUAUCUUACUACUUUAGUAGGUAGUUUUGUUUUACUAUUACUACUUAAUACAUAACUUUUGUUAUCUAAUAUCAAUGAUUCCGUAAUAAUAUAGAAUGAUUAUUAAUCCUUUUAGAGUAAUAUAAGAUUUUUGGUCCCUGAGUGUAGCUGAUUUUUUCAUAUUUGGUACUUAUUUUGGAGAACACUCAUGAAGGUUAGAAUUUUGAUAUUAGUUUGUUCAAAUUUUCAAAUUUAGAGACAAUUGCCUAAAUCAACGUACAUUUUUGUUGUUUCAUGGUUGUUUUUUUAUCAACUCUAGAUUUCAUCUUAAUGUUUUGCUCUACAUUCCACACCAUAGUUACUGAUUUUAUUGUUAUGGAAGUGGUAGAACAAGUGUACAAUGUUGUUCUUGAAGAGAAGUUGAAGGAAGUAACAACCAAUCCAUCACCCUUUUCUUUUCAAUUAUGUUAAGAAAAUAUGGAUUUCGUCUUAUUCUCUCUGCUGAUCUGUACAAGAAAUGUGAUCAUAUAUUACAUUUUUUGUUGCCUGAUCAUAUCUUAAUACCUUAAUAGAUAAUUUUGUUUUACUUAAUAGAUACUUUUCAUUAUCGAAUGUCAAUGAUUCUGUAACAAUGAUUAACUAACAAUAUAUAUGAAUGAUUUAUCAAUCUUUUUAGAGUACUAUUAGAUUUUUGAUCUAGCUGUAUUUUUUUUUUCAAUUUUGGUACUUAUUCGAGGUUUGCAAAAACUCUGAAUGAAAUUAAUUUAAUAGGAAAACAUUUUCAAAUAAGACAUGAGUAGUUGAUAUGUUUCACACAUGGUGUUAAUUGUUUUGAGGGUAAAAAUGUUACUGGAUUAAAUUAUGUAGAGAGAAGUAAAUAAUCACAGGCCAAAAUAAAAUACUAAAUAACUUAUUGGGUUAUUAGAGUUUCACUUAGGUAAAGAUAAUGUAUUUGUUUGUAUUUUUAACUCAGAAGUGUGUUGUGGUUCUAACGAAGAGUUGUGCAUAAAGUUGUAUGUUUCUGUUUAAUUAAGUUAUGUUUCCUUUCCAAUUAUUUUAAAAUACACUUGGAUGCAUUUGCAUAUUUGAAACAGUUUUUUGAUUGUCUUUGCUACAAAAAUAUUUGGACUUAUGUUUGUAAUUUUCUUGCUGCAGGAUUUUAGAGAUUGAAAUUUGAUUUUUGGGGUCAUAUGAAAGAACAACUUGAAAUUGUUGGAUGAGAUGAUGGUGGAAUUGAGUGAGACCUAUUAUGUUCCACGAUUAUGUAACAGAGUAUAUGAUAUGAUGGGUAUGAUAAAUUUAUUGUAUUUUUUAAUUUGUAUGGCUUAUUGAUGCUCAAUUAGGUUUGUGGUUAUCGAAGUGUUAUGAAUUCAGAUGACUAGUCAUAUGGUGGUCAUAGAGAAAGAUUGUUUAAUGUUGCAUUUAAUGCAAAGAGGCAAGCAUUAUUUAAAGGUAACUAUUUAUAAAAAAAAAUCAGCACAAGGGAGCCUUUUAGCUUUCCCAACUUUAAAGAAUAUAUUAUAUCUUUCAGGCAAGAGUGCAUCUCCUAUGCUAUGUGGGACAGAUUAGUAUUUAACAAAAUAAAAAGACUAACUUGCUUUUAUGGUUUUCAGGUGCAUCACCCUUGUCUCCUGAUGUCAUGGAACUUACUUUCAUUUAUUUGUGUCUUAUAUCACCCUAGUUUCAUUUCUUUUUAUUACAGUAUUGUUGUAAUAGCAAUCUUUUCAUUUAUCUGUGUUUUAUGCGGAAAAAAUGGACUGGUAGCUUUGGUUAUGGUCAUUUCUGUUAUGCUUUGCCCUAUUUCUAAGGUUUUGUUCAGAUUCUUCCAUGUUUUGUAAAUUUUGGAUUUUGAUUUUUCGAAUUUUUGUCAUAUUGAAAAUAUUUGGCUUCCUACAUAUGAAAAUUUUGGUUGAAGCUUGCUCUACUGACUUCACUUUGAAAUAAUCACAGACCAAAUUAAAUUAUUGAACAACUUAUUGAGCUAUUAGAGAUUUGAUCAGCGAAAGAUAAAUUAAUGUUUGUGUUUCUAACUCAAUCAGAAAUAGAAGUGUACUUUGGUUCUAACUAAAAGUUGCAUAUAAAGUUGUGUGUUUCUGUUUAACUAAGUUAGGUUUCCUUUCCGAAUAAUAUACACUAGGAUGAAUUUGGCAUAUUGAUUGUUAUUGCUACAAAAAACAUUUGGACUUAUGUUUGCUGUAGUUUAGCUUGAAUCUCUAUAUCAAUGAUUCUGACACAGGUGGUAUGCUUUUCUUGGAAGGUUUGAUGUGGUAAUGAAACAUAUGUUGGAAAUUGUGGCUUCUAGUCAUCAAUCAAAGCCAAUGCAAUAAUUUUGUUGCAUAUAUGUAGGAUGGAAUUAAGUACAAAAUCCAGCUAAAGAUUUAUUUAACCAAUCUCAAGACAUUGGAGAGAAGCCCUGUUAUGUUAUCUGGUUUCAUUAACAGAAGAGGCUAAUAAUAAUGCACAGGAAAUGAUGGGAUUAACAUGCUUCAUGUAGAAUCAAUAAAAAAAGAUGUUGAAUAAUUCAUGGAAAAUGCCUUCAGCACUUAUUUAGUAUGCCUGCGAAAAUGGGACAUCAGGGAAGGGAAAUGCCACAUGAUGUAGUCUUUGGUGGGCUGAAAUGUUAAAAACAAGUGGUCAAUAUAUAUAAAGAGGGUGUUGGUGUUUACCUUCACAUCUCUGAUGAGGUUAUAAUCAAUUCUCUUUUGUGAAUAAAAAUAUUUUGUAUGAGAAUUUAGUUAAGAAAGUAUGGAUUUCAUCUCAUUCUUUCUGCUGGUCUAUAUUGCAAUUUUUGUUACUGGAUCAUAUCUUAAUACUUUAAUAGGUAAUUUUGUUUUGCUAUCAGUACUUGAUAGAUAAUUUUCACUAUCGAAUAUCAAUGAUUCUGUAAUAAUAAUUACAUUAUCAAUCUUUGUAGAGUAAUAUUUGUAGCUGGUUUUUUCAAUUUUGGUCCCUAUUUGAGGUUUGUAAAAACUCUUAUUGAAAUCAGUUCAAUAGGGGAAGAUUGUCAAAUAAUACAUGAGUAUUUCACACAUGGGGUUAAUCGUGAGGAUUAUGUUUUGAAUGACACUCACGAAGGUUAGGAUAUGAUAUAUUAGUUUGUUCAACCAUCAAAUCGAGAGACAAAUGUCUAAGUCAAUGUAUGUUUUUGUUGUUUUUUUUUUAUCAACUCUAGAUUUCAUAUUCAUAUACACGUGCUUAAUGUAAACCCUCUUUUAUUUGCUCUACAUUUCACACCAUAGUUACUGAUUUUGUUGAAUGUCGAUCUUCCAAAGAAAUUGAAGACAUGAAAAUGGAAUGUUUACUUUUACAGCUAGUCAUCAUCAAACAUUACAUUGAUUGAAUAUGACACCUUGACAUAUUUUGAUAGUGGUAUGAUGGUUAAUCAUUUGCUUCAUUUCUUAUUGGUUGCACAAUGGUUAAAUUUUUUAUUAGUUGCUAAUUAAUCACGUUGACAUUUCAGUUGCUCAUCUUUUUGUCACUGAAAACUAUUGUGCAUUCACCCUUGCAAUUUACCUAUCAGAGACAAAAGGUUCCAAUGGGAGAGGGAACCACAGACAACCACGAGGGCACUACAAAGUUAGUGGGACAGCAGGGGCAUUUUGGGAAUUAAGGCAGAUCCUCUGUCAUUUUAGGUUAUAUUUUAUGGGAGGGCGUUUGUUAGAAAGGCAGGCAAAAUAUUUUAGAAGUUUCUUCUUCUUUUGUGAGACCAUUGCAUCUCGAAUCACUAUAUCUAUCAUGUUCUUCAUUUGUUCUUGAUUUGUUAUGAACUCACUUAAUUGAUAACUUCUGUUGUUUUGAUAGUUGAUCAUUUGGUUCAUUUCUUAUUGGUUGCACUGAUAAGAUUCUUUAUUGAAAUGAAGCUACAACCUUCAAGAACUCAUCAACAACUGGGGUUAAAGGUUGUAUCAUUUUCUAAGCUUAUUAUUCAGGGAAGUAACAACCAUUACCCUUUUCUUUUAGCUCACCAAAACAAGAUGAUGUUGCUACAAUAUGGUAUACAAGUGGAUACCAAAUGUGUAUUUUUUUCCUUCUCUUUUCAAGUCUACCAAAGUUUAAUCUUUUCUUACCUUAAGUGGAACUUAUUCCUUUUCCUACAUGGUUAGGGGAUAGAAACCUGACUGCAAAUGUUGCUGGUGGAAGUCUUGAAAUUAAGUUGUAUCCAUCAAAUUCACACAUAUAUGAAAGGUCCAACCAGAUGAUAUUGGUGUACUAUGGUGGCUUAGUUGGAUUUUAUCAAAUUUCAUCUUCUGUCUGAAUUAAGUUCAUGAUAAUGAUUUCCUUAUUGUACCUAAUCACAUCAUGCAUACAAAACUGCUGUUUCUUUUUAACUUAAUAGGCAAUGCAUUUUCAUUCAUGUAGAACAACUUGAAAUUGGUGGAUGAGAUGAUGGUGGAUUUGAGACCUAAUAUGCUCCACGAUUAUGUAACAGAGUAUAUGAUAUGUUGGGUAUGAUAAAUUUAUUGUAUUUUUCAAUCAUUAAGGCUUAUUCACGUUCUAUUAGGUGUGUGGUUAAGUGACUUGUUUACUAGCCAAUUUAGCAAUGUAAUGUUACUAGGUUUUUCUGAGAAAUGUUUAUUUUUCUUUUAAGUAGGUGACAAAGGAGCUUUUCACCUAUAGAAACUAUACCCAUCUCAACUGCCUUUUUGUUGUUUCUUCAAUUGACAUGCAGAUCCUAGGUAUCAACAUGUUUGUGGAUGUUUUUUUUUUUUGGUCCACGAUGGAUCAUCAGAGAGGUUUUUUCACUCCUUAAUUAUCAUUUUUGUUAUGAUGUAAAAAGCAUUGAAUAUAAAUAUUUGAAUUUCAUAAUUGCAUACGAUACAGAGUAACUUAAAAUAUUGGCAGAAAUGAAAAACACGCUUCAUUUAUGGAUUUCACCUUCAGGUUAUUUAUCAACAGUAUGUAGUCUAAACGUAUAAUAAUCCUUUCUCUCGUCUCUUUUGAUUUUGGAAUGCAUUAGAAUUUAGAUUGAGACUGAUGUCAAUAGGACACAAGUUGCAAUUUUAUGAGAAAGAAUAUAAAAUCCUUUCCAUAUUUCCUCAUGAGUUUUUAUAUUGUAAUUGAAUGCUAUUUAGAUGCGAAGAUAUAAAGCCUUCUAUUAAAGCAUUAUACUUUGAUAAUAAAACCUUUUAAGACAUUGUAAUUUUAUUAUUUUCCUAUCAAGUCACUAUACUUGAAAAAACUAAACAUGUUUGUUUUUGGUUGCCCAUUAUAGUUUUAUAAAUUUCAUAUUAACCUGUGAAGACUUUUUACUUUUUACUUUUUCUUAUUACGACAUUUCAUUUUAAAAAUCUAACCUAUCAAGACAUUUUCCCGUUAAAACAUCAAACUUGUUUGAACUUGGUUGCCAAUUACAGCAUUAUAGUUCAAUUUUUUUGACAACUAUUUUUCCUUCAAGUUAUUGUAUUUUCUAAAUCCAACAUUGUAUUGUACUUUCAACUG